rnacentral:lncRNA from 1 species
AUCUCGCCCCCAUGCCCUGGGGCACACUUGCUAUUUCAUGGAGGGCAAAUAUGGGAGUCAAGUCAGGUUGCUCGAUCCCACCUCCAUCAUAAGCCGUGUCCACUCUGACCAAGACCUGCUCGGAGAAGUCUCCUGCGGUAAUAAGAACUUCACUCUGUGAUGUUGCCUCUCAUCCUCUUAAAUCUCCCAUCUCAUACCCGAUCCAUCUGUAUUUGAAGCUCCACCUCGCUUUGGGCUCCCUCUGAUUUUUGAAGCUCC